UACGGAGGGUGCGAGCGUUGUUCGGAAUCACUGGGCGUAAAGGGCGCGCAGGCGGUUGGUUAAGUCAGAUGUGAAAGCCCACGGCUCAACUGUGGAAGUGCAUUUGAAACUGGCUGACUUGAGUAUCAGAGGGGAAAGUGGAAUUCCCGGUGUAGAGGUGAAAUUCGUAGAUAUCGGGAGGAAUACCGGUGGCGAAAGCGACUUUCUGGCUGAAUACUGACGCUGAGGCGCGAAAGCGUGGGGAGCAAACAGG
rnacentral:rRNA from 1 species